GCUUACGUAGUAUAGGGGUAGUACUUUGGAUUGUGGCUCCAACGACCGCGGUUCGAUUCCGCGCGUAGGCA